UACCAGCACCCCGAGUGGUUGGGACGAUUAUUGGGCCUAAAGCAUCCGUAGCCGGUCCUACAAGUCUUCCGUUAAAUCCACCUGCUUAACAGAUGGGCUGCGGAGGAUACUAUAGGGCUAGGAGGCGGGAGAGGCAAGCGGUACUCAGUGGGUAGGGGUAAAAUCCUCUGAUCCAUUGAAGACCACCAGUGGCGAAGGCGGCUUGCCAGAACGCGCUCGACGGUGAGGGAUGAAAGCUGGGGGAGCAAACCGG
rnacentral:rRNA from 1 species